GUUAAACGUUUUCUUUUUACUCUCUUCACAAGCCUCCUCGCAUCUUCUCUGUUUAAGUUUCUAUGUAAUGUGGCCAUUGUUUCCAACCUUUCAUAUUUUAUUUUUAUUUCUAGCCUCUAAUGACUUCUGAGUCCAUCUUGACUUAGCCUAAUGAGUAAUGCCAGAUAUUUCUCCAAGAUUAUGUUGGUGGAGUCAGUCUAAUCAAGGCAGAAAUUUGUAUACUCCUACUUUUGACUUGGAACUUGAGAUAAUAUAACAAAGUCUCCACUCUUAUUCUUUUCUUUUUCUGCCUGCAUUUAUUCUGAACACCAAUCUUUUUGCUCUCCUCUGCUCUUCAUAAUUAUGAAUAACCAACCGCGUGAACUCUUUAUGUUCACAUGGUUGACAAAAAGCUUAACAUUUUGCCUUUCUGAUCUUGGUGGCAAUUAGGGAAAAGAUAAUUUGAACUUAUGUAGACACAGGAAAGCUUAUCAUUCGGCUAAUAGCAGCCACCUCCACUAGAACUGUAGAGUAUUAUCUACUCAAAAUAGACUAUGACAGGAAAGAUGACCUGACCUUUCCAUGACCAAUUCUAAAUCUCAUGAGUUACUAGACCAAUAAUUAGCGUUCACACUCAUGGCUAGCCUUGCAAAAAAAAAAAACAUCGACGCUCGUGAGCAGCUCAAACUCGACUCCUUUUUAGCCUAACUCGAGAUUGACUCAUAGGAAAAUGAGCUGGCUAUGAGCACCUUGUGUACCUAGGUUG
rnacentral:lncRNA from 1 species